CCCGCGCCCGGCCCGCCGCCCCCGCCCCCCUACGGGAGGCAGCAGCAAGGAAUCUUGGGCAAUGGGCGAAAGCCUGACCCAGCGACGCCGCGUGAGGGAUGACGGCCUUCGGGUUGUAAACCUCUUUUCUCAGGGAAGAAUAAUGACGGUACCUGAGGAAUAAGUCUCGGCUAACUACGUGCCAGCAGCCGCGGUAAUACGUAGGAGGCGAGCGUUAUCCGGAUUUAUUGGGCGUAAAGUGGGCGUAGGUGGUCUUUCAAGUCGGAUGUGAAAUCUCCCGGCUCAACUGGGAGGGGUCAUCCGAUACUGUUGGACUUGAGUACAGCAGGGGAAAAUGGAAUUCCCGGUGUAGUGGUGAAAUGCGUAGAUAUCGGGAGGAACACCAGAGGCGAAGGCGAUUUUCCAGGCUGAAACUGACACUGAGGCCCGAAAGCGUGGGGAGCGAACAGGAUUAGAUACCCUGGUAGUCCACGCCUUAAACUAUGGGUACUAGGUAUAGGGAGUAUCGAC
rnacentral:rRNA from 1 species